GCCGCUGUAGCUCAGUCGGUAGAGCAGGGGACUGAAAAUCCCUGUGUCAUGAGUUCAAGUCUCAUUGGUGGCACUA
rnacentral:tRNA from 1 species